ncrna:Drosophila mojavensis microRNA dmo-mir-306 precursor
GCUCAGGUACUUAGUGACUCUCAAUCACAUAUUGCUUUGCAUACUUUGAGGGUCGCUCUGUGCCUGUGCCG